UACGAAGGGGGCUAGCGUUGCUCGGAAUUACUGGGCGUAAAGGGCGCGUAGGCGGACAGUUUAGUCAGAGGUGAAAGCCCAGGGCUCAACCUUGGAAUUGCCUUUGAUACUGACUGUCUUGAGUUCGGGAGAGGUGAGUGGAAUGCCGAGUGUAGAGGUGAAAUUCGUAGAUAUUCGGAGGAACACCAGAAGCGAAGGCGGCUCACUGGCCCGAUACUGACGCUGAGGCGCGAAAGCGUGGGGAGCAAACAGG
rnacentral:rRNA from 1 species